rnacentral:lncRNA from 1 species
CUGCAGUAAGAGACUGAACGCUGGCCUGACUUCAGCUUACAGAAUGGCGCCGGUGGCUGUGUUCACUGCGGUCCGGUGUUGCAGCUGCUGAAGCCCGAGCUGAGGAGAACACACCGACCGGCACACGAACCGACGGACAACCGACACCGCCGCCAUGACCGACGGAGAGAGCGAUAUAGAGAGCCUGCAGCAGAAAGAUCCAGGAAAUAUUUGAGCACAUAUUGAGAUCAGAAAACAC